rnacentral:sRNA from 1 species
GUUUAGCCCCGAUUGAGGCGGCAUCCUUUUUAAAAUAAUGAAACUGAAACUUACGGCUAACUAGGAAUAGGCAGAUUGCUUCGUCGUGCCUCCUCGCAAUGACGUUUAAAAAGAUAUAGCCGAAAGCGGGAAAUAGC